rnacentral:lncRNA from 1 species
CGAUCUUGUCGAUGAGGCGUAGCUCCUACAAACUUGCAUAGGAACUGGGCAUAGCAACUCCUGACAUUUAUUAGUGGUUGUAUGCCAGUUUCUGUCUUGCAGUUCAUAUGUUUUAAACAAAAAAUGCAUCAGGUUAUUUAUUGCAUUGGUACAGUCUUCGAUGCUGAGCGUUAGUCAUAGUCAAUCUCUCAAUGCGUGGCAAGGACUGUGAUCGUUACGUUUCGGUAAAUUUAAGAAAUGAAUAUUUUUCAAAGUUACAUUGUGGUAUAAACCGUGACAUAUGCAUUUUGAAAACGUUUGAUUUCUG